UUCCUUAUCAUUUAUCAUUUGUGCCCUCCUCUAAAUCUCGUGUUCACUCGGUGCCUCCCUUCUCCCUCCUCCCUUCUUCUUUUCCUUUCACAUGUGGUUCUUCUAUGGAUGGUUUUUCAGCAAACCCUAGCUCUUUACGCCCUCAUUUCGUCUCUCCUCUCUUCUCCCUCCUUCUUUCUCUAUCCAUUUUUCUUCUCUGCUACAUCUAUCUCACUCCACAAUAAUUGAACAUGGCGGCUGAUAUCCUUGAUUGUGGCUAGGGUUUUCUCGUUCUUCUUCUUUCAAGGUUAACAGGAAGUAGACGAAGAUAAUGGACAAGAUUACCAGCCAAAGGAAGGGGAUAAUGCCGAAACUGAGCUUGAAAAGCACUAAGAUACUCUGGGCUGAGAUGGCUCGAGCUGAGGCAGCUAAGAAACUCUGGGCUUAUAUAGUGAAGGAUUUGCUCAAGAUCCCAACAGGCGUAACAUAAAAUUUGACAAGAUGUUGCAUCCCAUUUUUCGUGUAGAUACCAUCAACAGGUUCCGGAUGAAUAAAUCUCUCUAUAAGCAUGUAUGGUCGCUUAGUCAGAAGAAGGUCUUGGAAGAUAAGCCUGAUCAAUCAAAAUGGACGCUGAAAUAUAUAGCAUUUGGCCGUGACAUUGAGUUCUCUUGGCUUGCUCGAAAUCUGCAGCCCAUCCCAAACCAGAAAAUUCAUUGGAGAUCUCUAGAAGGUCUUCCAAUCAGUGGUGCUGUUCGAUUUUACCCAAGAGGUACUUCAUCAUGUCUUGUAGAAAAUGUGGCCUGAUGGUCAGACUGCUGUUACUGCAGAUGGGAAGCGCAUUGCUCACUUUUGAGCAUACUUUACUGGUAUCCCUUAUGACCUUUUAUGUGUCUCUCAACUGUCAAAUUUGAAAGUUAUCUUGGUUUAGGGGCUAACUAUGGCGCAGAGAUGGACUUCUUGACGUUGUGGUAUAAACAAUCUGGUUGGGACAUAUGAGGACAUGGCAAUUGAUGCAUGGUGUAAGUGAGGAUGAGAUAUGGAAAGCGAUUUGGAAUGUGGGUGGUCCUCCAAAAUUGAGCCACUUCGCCUGGAAAGCGUGCAAGGGUAGCCUUGGGGUUAUGGACGUCCUAUGUAGAAGGCAUAUCAGGGAGACGAGUUGCUGUCCCGUGUGUAACCACCAUGAGGAAACAAUAAUGCAUACACUAUUUGAAUGUAAACACGCAGGCACUAUAUGGAUGCAAAGUGAGUUCUUGGACCUUCUAACGGAGGCACCGAGCGGUUCCUUCAGUGACCGGGUAAGGUGGAUGGCUGAAAAGGUUGAUAAGGAGCAAUUGCGCACGUUUUUAGCUCUAGCAUGGGCAUCUUGGUUCUGCAGGAACAAGGCCAUCUUUGAGCCCACAACUGCUUUUGAUCCGAUUGGAGUUGCAACGGGAAUGGUCAAGUUGGUGGUGGACUACGUGGAGUAUAAUGCUAAGGUUGGUAUGCAAUCACGCUCUCACCAUUUCCCAUCUGCUGGUCGCUGGUUUGCCCCACCUGGUAACAGCAUAAAGGUAAACGUGGAUGCCCAUGUAACACACGGGAAUGGAGUGCAGUUGGGUGUGGUCAUUCGAGACGAUGCUGGAGCAUUAAUGGAUGCCGCGGUGAAGAGCAUUGAUGCUGAUUGGGCACCAGUCAUGGCGGAGGCAGGCGCAGUAAGAUAUGGAGUGGAGCUGGCUCUAUGGAGUGGAGCUGGCUCGACGGCUGGGCUACACGAAAGUGAUAGUGGAGAGUGAUGCAUUGAUGGUGGUCCGAACAAUAUAGACGCAAGCAGAGGGUGCAGCGCCCAUCCACCUCCUGUAUGAUGAUAUUCAUAGAAUUAGUAGUACUUUUGAUCUCUUUAUGUGUGUCCAUGUUAAACGAGUAGGCAAUCGGUUAGCACAUUCUGUAGCUAGAUGGGAAGUAGAUGCUAAUUCCGAACGCAUUUGUAUGAACAUAUUCCCCCAAGCUCUACAAGCUUUGGCGGAUUUGGAUUUGAAUAUAUAAUAUGCCUGCUCUUUCCCUCAAAAAAAAAAGGUAGUAAGAUAAAGGGAGUUGAUGUUUUGGGUGGAGAAAUAAACUAAGAGGCUUUAAUCGUAUAG